rnacentral:rRNA from 1 species
GAUGACGCCGGCGGUGUGCCUAAUACAUGCAAGUCGAACGCGUUGGCCCAAUUGAUUGAUGGUGCUUGCACCUGAUUGAUUUUGGUUGCCAGCGAGUGGCGGACGGGUGAGUAACACGUAGGUAACCUGCCCAGAAGCGGGGGACAACAUUUGGAAACAGAUGCUAAUACCGCAUAACAGCGUUGUUCGCAUGAACAACGCUUAAAAGAUGGCUUCUCGCUAUCACUUCUGGAUGGACCUGCGGUGCAUUAGCUUGUUGGUGGGGUAACGGCCUACCAAGGCGAUGAUGCAUAGCCGAGUUGAGAGACUGAUCGGCCACAAUGGGACUGAGACACGGCCCAUACUCCUACGGGAGGCAGCAGUAGGGAAUCUUCCACAAUGGGCGCAAGCCUGAUGGAGCAACACCGCGUGAGUGAAGAAGGGUUUCGGCUCGUAAAGCUCUGUUGUUAAAGAAGAACACGUAUGAGAGUAACUGUUCAUACGUUGACGGUAUUUAACCAGAAAGUCACGGCUAACUACGUGCCAGCAGCCGCGGUAAUACGUAGGUGGCAAGCGUUAUCCGGAUUUAUUGGGCGUAAAGAGAGUGCAGGCGGUUUUCUAAGUCUGAUGUGAAAGCCUUCGGCUUAACCGGAGAAGUGCAUCGGAAACUGGAUAACUUGAGUGCAGAAGAGGGUAGUGGAACUCCAUGUGUAGCGGUGGAAA